rnacentral:rRNA from 1 species
AGAGUUUGAUUAUGGCUCAGGAUGAACGCUAGCUACAGGCCUAACACAUGCAAGUCGAGGGGCAGCGGGGAACAAGCUUGCUUGUUCCGCCGGCGACCGGCGCACGGGUGCGUAACGCGUAUCGAAUCUGCCCCAUACCCGGGAAUAGCCUUGCGAAAGUAAGAUUAAUGCCCGAUGUUCUCCGUAAUUCGCAUGUUUUUCGGAGCAAAGAUUCAUCGGUAUGGGAUGACGAUGCGUAGCAUUAGGUAGUAGGCGGGGUAACGGCCCACCUAGCCGACGAUGCUUAGGGGUUCUGAGAGGAAGGUCCCCCACACUGGAACUGAGACACGGUCCAG